rfam:Nicotiana attenuata strain TT scaffold03179, whole genome shotgun sequence.
AUACCUUUCUCGGCCUUUUGGCUAAGAUCAGGUGUAAUUUCUUUUAUUAUCAGUGUAAUAUCUGAUAUGUCAGUCAUCGACUCACACGAUAUUAUUUUUUUGGGGGAGAGUCCACUACGGUAGCUGGCUAUCUGGACUCUCAAGUGUUGUCUUGGUAUUGCACUAUUCCUUUGGCCUGGCACACCCCAC